UACGUAGGUGGCAAGCGUUGUCCGGAUUUAUUGGGUUUAAAGGGUGCGUAGGCGGCCCUGUAAGUCAGUGCUGAAAUAUCCCGGCUUAACCGGGAGGGUGGCAUUGAUACUGCGGGGCUAGAGUACAGAUGAGGUAGGCGGAAUUGACGGUGUAGCGGUGAAAUGCGUAGAGAUUAGGAAGAACACCAGUGGCGAAGGCGACUUACUGGACUGUAACUGACGCUGAGGCAUGAAAGCGUGGGGAGCAAACAGG
rnacentral:rRNA from 1 species